UACAGAGGUGGCAAGCGUUGUUCGGAAUUACUGGGCGUAAAGGACGCGUAGGCGGCCUUCUAAGUCAGACGUGAAAUCCCCCGGCUUAACCUGGGAACUGCGUCUGAUACUGGGAGGCUUGAGUAUGGGAGAGGGAUGUAGAAUUCCAGGUGUAGCGGUGAAAUGCGUAGAUAUCUGGAGGAAUACCGGUGGCGAAGGCGGCAUCCUGGACCAUAACUGACGCUGAGGCGCGAAAGCUAGGGGAGCAAACGGGG
rnacentral:rRNA from 1 species